rnacentral:rRNA from 1 species
AACGAACGCUGGCGGCAUGCCUAACACAUGCAAGUCGAACGAGACCUUCGGGUCUAGUGGCGCACGGGUGCGUAACGCGUGGGAACCUGCCCUUAGGUUCGGAAUAACUCCCCGAAAGGGGUGCUAAUACCGGAUAAUGUCUUCGGACCAAAGAUUUAUCGCCUUUGGAUGGGCCCGCGUUGGAUUAGCUAGUUGGUAGGGUAAAAGCCUACCAAGGCGACGAUCCAUAGCUGGUUUGAGAGGAUGAUCAGCCACACUGGGACUGAGACACGGCCCAGACUCCUACGGGAGGCAGCAGUGGGGAAUAUUGGACAAUGGGCGAAGGCCUGAUCCAGCAAUGCCGCGUGAGUGAUGAAGGCCUUAGGGUUGUAAAGCUCUUUUACCCGGGAUGAUAAUGACAGUACCGGGAGAAUAAGCGCCGGCUAACUCCGUG